rnacentral:rRNA from 1 species
GUGGGGAAUAUUGGACAAUGGGGGGAACCCUGAUCCAGCCAUGCCGCGUGUGUGAAGAAGGCCUUUUGGUUGUAAAGCACUUUAAGCGAGGAGGAGGCUACCGAGAUUAAUACUCUUGGAUAGUGGACGUUACUCGCAGAAUAAGCACCGGCUAACUCUGUGCCAGCAGCCGCGGUAAUACAGAGGGUGCGAGCGUUAAUCGGAUUUACUGGGCGUAAAGCGUGCGUAGGCGGCUUUUUAAGUCGGAUGUGAAAUCCCCGAGCUUAACUUGGGAAUUGCAUUCGAUACUGGGAAGCUAGAGUAUGGGAGAGGAUGGUAGAAUUCCAGGUGUAGCGGUGAAAUGCGUAGAGAUCUGGAGGAAUACCGAUGGCGAAGGCAGCCAUCUGGCCUAAUACUGACGCUGAGGUACGAAAGCAUGGGGAGCAAACAGGAUUAGAUACCCCUGUAGUCC